rnacentral:rRNA from 1 species
AGCGAACGCUGGCGGCAGGCCUAACACAUGCAAGUCGAGCGGCAGCGCGUCCGACCACCCUCGGGUGGUCGGAUGGCGGCGAGCGGCGGACGGGUGAGGAAUGCAUCGGAAUCUGCCUCGUUGUGGGGGAUAACGUAGGGAAACUUACGCUAAUACCGCAUACGACCUACGGGUGAAAGUGGGGGACCUUCGGGCCUCACGCGAUGAGAUGAGCCGAUGCCGGAUUAGCUAGUUGGCGGGGUAAAGGCUCACCAAGGCGACGAUCUGUAGCGGGUCUGAGAGGAUGAUCCGCCACACUGGAACUGAGACACGGUCCAGACUCCUACGGGAGGCAGCAGUAGGGAAUAUUGGACAAUGGGGGGAACCCUGAUCCAGCCAUGCCGCGUGAGGGAAGAAGGUCCUCUGGAUUGUAAACCUCUUUUGGCAGGAAACAAACCUGCGCUAUACGCGCAGCUGAGGGUACCUGCAGAAUAAGCACCGGCUAACUCCGUGCCAG